UACGGGGGGGGCAAGCGUUGUUCGGAAUUACUGGGCGUAAAGGGCUCGUAGGCGGCCAACUAAGUCAGACGUGAAAUCCCCAGGCUCAACCUGGGAACUGCGUCUGAUACUGGAUGGCUUGAAUUCGGGAGAGGGAUGCAGAAUUCCAGGUGUAGCGGUGAAAUGCGUAGAUAUCUGGAGGAAUACCGGUGGCGAAGGCGGCAUCCUGGACCGACAUUGACGCUGAGGAGCGAAAGCAUGGGGAGCGAACAGG
rnacentral:rRNA from 1 species